rnacentral:lncRNA from 1 species
UCGAGACCAUCGUGGCCAACAUGGUGAAACCCCGUCUCUACUAAAAAUACAAAAAUUAGCCAGGUGUGGUGACGCACACCUGUAGUCCCAGCUACUCGGGAAGCUGAGGCAGGAGAAUUGCUUGAACCCGGGAGGUGGAGGUUGCAGUGAGCUGAGGUUUGUGUAGUAGUGGAAGAUUUUAGGUAUGUAGAGCAAGUUGAAAAUGGAUUGAGACUGCAUGGUGGCAUAAAUGAGAAAUUGCCUGUAGCAUCUAGUCUACUUGAAGGAAGUGGAGACAUAAGGAGAGACAAAAACAGGUUUGUGCCAUAAAGUAUUUUUUCAAAGACACCAAGAUGUGGUAAAUGAAAAUUAUUAGUUCACUUCCCUGCUGCCAUGAAACUUUGCCUUAAGAAGGUGCUGGAUUCCAAGGUUUGUAAAGGCAUCUCGGUAAAGACUGCUUUUUGAAUGCAUAUGAUUUUGCAUCAGCUAGACUGAGUUGAUUCUGACCAGACUUGAUGGUUUUAAGUCGGAACCGAUAAAUUUUAAAAAGGAGAAAAAAUAAUUUGACCUAGUAGUAUAAAACAUGAGGCUUUAAUGGUACUUUGCUAUGAAAAGAAAACACUGUAUUCCUUAUGCAAAACACAUGUAUCUUUCAUUAUUUAUAAGUGGCCUCUCUUAGCUCAGUUACUCAAUUCAUACGUAGUAUUUUUUAAAAUAAUUUUAUAUCUGUGUACCACCCCAUAUAUUUCAUAUUACUGUUUCACAUGUACAGCUUUCUACUUCUUUGUAAGAACACCAACCAACCAAGGUUUAAGUGAUUAAUAGGCUUGAGCACCGGGUGGCAGAUGUUCUAUGCAGUGUGGUUCAAGUUUCUUUGACCGCACUUAUAUGCAUUGCUAAUAUGGAAUUUAAGAUACCAUACACAGUCUCUCAUGGACCUAUCUCUAUUGUAGAAUUAUGACUUAUGUCUUACUUGCCAAAUUUUUCUGAAUGUGACCUUUUUUUGCUGAUUUGCUGGGUUUGGGAUUAACUAGCAUUAUUUUGCCACCUUUAUAUUGUAUUUAUAAAAAAAAAAGUACUAUCAAUCAAUCAUACUACUUUGGAUUGUUGUGCUGGUGUAAUGUGGAUUUAACAUCAAUAAAUAUUUGACAAAUAA